AUAGAAAACUUUUUAAAUCUCCUGCUGUGCUACCUAAACAGCUCCCUGUGUCGAUUUGGACCAGCGUUAUGAGUUUACUUUGGCAAAGCAUGCUUCAUUCACUGGGGAAGCCUUCCUGUGUAACUGGAUGCCUGGCCUUCUCCCCCUGGAAGGAUUACACUGAGCAGGGGAAAACAUCCACAUGUGCCGUUCAAGUCCCUUUCGAAAAAAAAGUGACAGUCCGCUCCAUUGCUCCCCCCGGGUCCGACGAAUGUCCACCUGUCCAAUGAGUUCCCUCUUCUCUGGAUAAACCCACACUGACUGGAUUCAAAGAUUAACAAGAACCCCCUCAAACAUUUUCCAGUUCCGGUUCACCAGUUCACUGAGUUCCAGAUCCAUCUCCUGUACUAUUACCUCAAUAACCCUGUUUGACUUUUCC